GAGUCUUUAAACAAAACAAAUCAGCUGUGCUACAGAGGCCCCUGAAGGCAGACUUUGCAAAACAGGAAACCUGGAAAAUGUGCAAAUAUCAAGGUUACCUGGGUCUGCUGGUCACUUCUAGUUUUUGGACUCUUGAAGAUGCUUGCCCUCCGAAUGUUUGGCUUUUGUAAUAGAUCGUAACGUACCAAGAGAAGCCAGUUACUAAUCACAAAUAGAAAACGGACC